rnacentral:rRNA from 1 species
GAUGAACGCUGGCGGCGUGCCUAAUACAUGCAAGUCGAGCGAACAGACGAGGAGCUUGCUCCUCUGACGUUAGCGGCGGACGGGUGAGUAACACGUGGAUAACCUACCUAUAAGACUGGGAUAACUUCGGGAAACCGGAGCUAAUACCGGAUAAUAUAUGGAACCGCAUGGUUCAAUAGUGAAAGACGGUUUUGCUGUCACUUAUAGAUGGAUCCGCGCCGCAUUAGCUAGUUGGUAAGGUAACGGCUUACCAAGGCAACGAUGCGUAGCCGACCUGAGAGGUUGUUCGGCCACCCUGCAGCUGAGACACCGUCAAGACUCUUACGGGAGGCAGCAGAGGGUGAUCUUCCGCAAUGGGCCAAAGCCUGUCGGAGCAACGCCUCGUGCGUUAUGAAGGCCCUCGGAUCGUCAAACUCUGUUAUUAGGGAAGAACAUAUGUGUACGUAACUAUGCACGUCUUGACGGUACCUAAUCAGAAAGCCACGGCUAACUACGUG